rnacentral:rRNA from 1 species
UACGUAGGGGCCUAGCGUGUCCGGAUUUAUUGGGCGUAAAGAGCUCGUAGGCGGUUUGUCGCGUCUGCUGUGAAAACUCGGGGCUUAACCCCGGGCCUGCAGUGGGUACGGGCAGACUAGAGUGCGGUAGGGGAGACUGGAAUUCCUGGUGUAGCGGUGAAAUGCGCAGAUAUCAGGAGGAACACCGGUGGCGAAGGCGGGUCUCUGGGCCGUAACUGACGCUGAGGAGCGAAAGCGUGGGGAGCGAACAGG